rfam:Ovis aries breed Texel chromosome 9, whole genome shotgun sequence.
UCCCUGGUGGCUCAGAUGGUAGAGAAUCCGCCUGCAAUGCAGGAGACCUGGGUUCAGUUCCUGGCUUGGGAA